rnacentral:rRNA from 1 species
GUGUAUUUGCAUGCUAGGCAAUGUGGUGUUAAGGCUUGUACCUGGGAUCGUGUCCCUACCCGAAGUCUAAAUCCGAUUGUGGCUUUGGAUUCAUUCCAUAGCGGGUGAAAGUCCCGUGCGGGUAGGACUAUUGCAAAUCCACACGGUCCUCAGAUGUGCAUGCUUUCGAGUCGGAUUGCUUGAGAAUGCAGUCCAAAGUGGGUGGUAAACUCCAUCCAAGGCUAAAUACUGGCACGAGUCCGAUAGUAGACAAGUACCGUGAGGGAAAGUUGAAAAGUACUCUGAAGAGAGAGUAAAUAGUACGUGAAGCCGAUUGCAGGGAAGCUGGUGGAGUCAAGCUUCGUGCUUGAGGGAUUGAUGCUGGGAGCAGGUGUGUGAUUUGGAUGUGAGGAUGGUCAACUUGGAAUAAGUUGGGCGUGUUCUGAAUGCGCUUCACGUCAUUCCGGGUAGAGUGUUAUGAGCCGUCCUUGCUUUCCUACUCUCAGUGUUGUAUUCCUUGCUGCACAGGCCCCAGUCGAUAGGUGCGCGCAGUGUGAUGGCCUAACUGUGCUUCGGUGGGUGCAAACUCUCCGGGUGCAGGAUGGCAGGUGCUGUCUUCAGUCCUUGUGGCUGUUGAUAGUUGUUGUGGUUUUGACCGGCU